rnacentral:rRNA from 1 species
GCGUAAGCGCACGCAGGCGGUCUGUCAAGUCGGAUGUGAAAUCCCCGGGCUCAACCUGGGAACUGCAUUCGAAACUGGCAGGCUAGAGUCUUGUAGACGUGGGUAGAAUUCCAGGUGUAGCGGUGAAAUGCGUAGAGAUCUGGAGGAAUACCGGUGGCGAAGGCGGCCCCCUGGACACAGACUGACGCUCAGGUGCGAAAGCGUGGGGAGCAAACAGGAUUAGAUACCCUGGUAGUCCACGCCGUAAACGAUGUCGACUUGGAGGUUGUGCCCUUGAGGCGUGGCUUCCGGAGCUAACGCGUUAAGUCGACCGCCUGGGGAGUACGGCCGCAACGUUAAAACUCAAAUGAAUUGACGGGGGCCCGCACAAGCGGUGGAGCAUGUGGUUUAAUU